rnacentral:lncRNA from 1 species
UCAAUAUAUUGUAUCUUGUAAUACUCAGAGGCGGGAAAUAGCAAAAAAGCAAGUGUGUCUUAGUUUAGGGUUCUGACACUUAAUUCUUCAGAACCUAAGUUAAAACACACGGGAGUUUUAAUAUUUGUUGCCAAGAGCCAUUUGUUUUAAAGUGAUAGCAGCUCUUGGACUCUAUCCGAAGGGGUUUUAUUCCUGAAAUAUCAAAAUGACUUCUUUAUGAGGUAAUGCUGUCCAAAGGAGCAUCCCAAUAUAUGAGGAAAUUGUUAUAACGAGGAAAUCAUUAGAAGAAGGUGAUAGUGCUAAGAGGUUGGUAUUAGAACCAAUGGGAAGAAGAUGGAGAGAAGAUGAAUCUCAUCUAAAGAAGAGUUUUGUUAUGACCAGAGGCAUCUGAAGUGGAGUAGGCAUUCCCAGGAGCAUGAUGAGCUGUCCAUCCCUAGGAACGUUCGAGAAGAGGCUGAGGGAUUAACGUGAGUA